rnacentral:sRNA from 1 species
GAGGCUUUUUGGGAGCUCACUGACUUCGGGUUCCGUCGAAACUCCGAAGUUAAGCGAGUUCGCGCGAGAGCAAUCCCAUGAUGGGUGACCCACUGCGAAGUUCUUGUGUGAGUUCCCAAAAACAAAACCAUGACGACAUGGUUUGGGCCCAAAGCGAACAAUAUCUUGCUAUGGCGGAGUCGAACCCGGAAUGUGGUGGGGGCCCAGGCCGGGAUGUGACAAUUUGGUAUCAGAGCCAAUCCUUGGGCGGAAAUGUACCGACGAGGACGUUGGGCCCUUAAGGUGGUGGAUUGUAAGAUCCCACACCGCCUAGGGGUGAGGAUCCUGUAAGCCUUAUAUAUAUAUUCCCAUGUCUACCUAGCACCAGACUUUUUGGGAGCUCACUGGCUUCGGGUUCUGUCGGAACUCCGAAGUUAAGUGAGUUCAUGCGAGAGCAAUUCCAUGAUGGGUGACUCACUGGGAAGUUAUCGUGUGAGUU